rnacentral:rRNA from 1 species
UGUAAGCGUAUACCAAAGUUGUUGCAGUUAAAACGCUCGUAGUCGGACUUUGGCAGUUCCGGAUGUGUGCACGUCGUGUGCGCACUUCGCGGGGAUUGCUUUUGUGGUCUUGCGUAGGAUGAGGCACUUUUAUUAGUGAACGUCCUCACGCAACCACUUUUUACUGUGAGAAAAUCAGAGUGCUCAAAGCAGGCAUUAGCCGUGAAUGUAUUAGCAUGGAAUAAUAGAAUAGGACUUGGUUCUAUUUUGUUGGUUUGUUGGGACUGAGUAAUGAUUAAGAGGGACAGUUGGGGGCAUUUGUAUUUCGGUGCUAGAGGUGAAAUUCUUAGAUUACCGAAAGACAAACUGCUGCGAAAGCGUCUGCCAAGGAUGUUUUCAUUGA